GUAAUUAGAGAAUAGAUUCAUUCCUCUUUGCAGUGAAGCAGGAAACUGCAAGAACUUUACGAGACAAGAAAACGAUGUCGUCGAAGCGGAGUCAUACGACGGAGCUAGGCUGCGUAGCUUGCCAGGAGCUGGGCGACCUUGGUGCAGGAAAGGAAAGGUGGCUGGUCGAAAACCCUAACCUUCUCUGCGCUCUUGACACCCAUUCCCUUGCCCUCGCA
rnacentral:misc_RNA from 1 species